GAUUCACCUUUAACCGAGCUACUAUAGAGCAGGUAGUGUCGAAUGACUUAAGAUCGGUACUCCUGUCGUACAUGACACAUCGACCUAUAUGUCGAUCGGGUGUCCACACUAAGUUGGGCGUCAAUAUGGUGAACUGAGGGGAACCUUCGUCCACUAGGUUGAAUAAAGAGAUGUACCGGUCCAGGAUGGAAACAUAGCAGACAAAAGUUCCCGCGCGUCAAACAGUAGUGAGAUAGCACUUGUGAAUAGGCGUGCGACAGCCCGGUCAAGAUAGUUGGACCCGCUACCAU
rnacentral:SRP_RNA from 1 species